rnacentral:lncRNA from 1 species
GACAUUUACAGCAACUACAAAAUAUUAACAUUCCAAGUUCCAUAAAGAGGGCCCAUCUACUUCAUCCAGAAUCCAGGGCUGUAUUCACAAUAGGACAUAGAGUAGUCAAAUUCACAUCACAAAUGUAAUUUACUUGAAAUUAUUAUGCCAGCUGUAGUAAACUAAAUGUUUAUUUUUGUUAUCUUUCCUUGAAUAGCCUGUG